GGAGCAGCUCCCGGCUCUGCAGCCCUUCGACCCCGCCAAUGCUGAUGGUGCAAGCCAUCACGGGUUCUCGCCUUUGCAAGGCAGAUGUCAGGAGUUCGAAUCUCCUAGGCUCCA
rnacentral:tRNA from 1 species